rnacentral:rRNA from 1 species
CCUACGGGAGGCAGCAGUGAGGAAUAUUGGACAAUGGGCGCAAGCCUGAUCCAGCCAUGCCGCGUGCAGGAAGAAGCAUCUAUGGUGUGUAAACUGCUUUUGUACAGGAAGAAACACUCCCUCGUGAGGGAGCUUGACGGUACUGUAAGAAUAAGGACCGGCUAACUCCGUGCCAGCAGCCGCGGUAAUACGGAGGGUCCGAGCGUUAUCCGGAAUCAUUGGGUUUAAAGGGUCCGUAGGCGGUUUAAUAAGUCAGUGGUGAAAUCUGGUCGCUCAACGAUCAAACGGCCAUUGAUACUGUUAGACUUGAAUUAUAAGGAAGUAACUAGAAUAUGUAGUGUAGCGGUGAAAUGCUUAGAUAUUACAUGGAAUACCAAUUGCGAAGGCAGGUUACUACUUAUGGAUUGACGCUGAUGGACGAAAGCGUGGGGAGCGAACAGGAUUAGAUACCCUGGUAGUCCACGCCGUAAACGAUGGAUACUAGCUGUUCGGAGCAAUCUGAGUGNGUAGACGAAGUAGAUAAGUAUACCACCGUACGGGAGGUACGUUACGUCGAAGAAGAGAAACGUAAAGUAAGUAAGUUAGUAGACGUGAGAGAGACGACGACGACGACGAGGAGGAGGNG